rnacentral:rRNA from 1 species
AUGGAUCAGGAGCUGAUCGAGCACCUUGAGGCAAAAGAGAGUGCUGACAGCGUGAGAUCUCACUGUCUCAUCGAUUUGUUCAUACCAACCAUCGACAGCGAGCACGUCAUAUGCUACACCCAUCCUGAGAAACUUCCAGACCUGCGCAAUUCCAGGGCGUUCAAAAGGGGCACGUGGACGCGUCGCAAGAUACAGUCGGAGUGCGGCAUGCACGCGAUGUGGCACAACACCGGCAAUACCUUGCCGGUGAUGGUCAACGGCCGGCAGCCGGGCAGCAAAAAGUUUCUGGUGCUGCACACCAACAAGAACUUCGAACAACAGAGGACCAACUGGGUGAUGCACCAGUACCACCUCGGGGACCUGGAGCAAGAGAAGGAGCGGGAGCUGGUCCUCUCCAAGAUUUUCUACCAGACGAACACUAGGGCCAGGAAUCAAGCAUGUUUCAACUGGGUUGUAGACUGUCCAGGCUUGGUUUUGUUUUUAACAGUCCCAGCCCAUGACGACAACGGGGCACAAAGAUCCAGCAGUUGUGGGGACGACCACUUGGGCAGCGGGGUCGCGCGGCGGUGGUGGUCGAGGGGCAGCGGCUCCGUCGAGCGCAGCGGUCUGGUCGACUCGUCCAGGAUGAGGCACAUGGGCCGCGGUCACUCCUGCGAUGGGGGCGGCCGGAGAGCGAUGGCUCACCCCGGACCGAGCACGUUGCCGUGGUUGUGCACGUCGGUGGGAGGAGAGGGUACAGACGGAGUGACCCCCUCGCCUGCAGCUUGUGGAGCGUGA